rnacentral:rRNA from 1 species
UACGUAGGGGGCAAGCGUUAAUCGGAAUUACUGGGCGUAAAGCGCACGUAGUCGGCUUUGCAAGUCGGUUGUGAAAUCCCCGGGCUCAACCUGGGAACUGCAUCCGAAACUGCAUUGCUAGAGUAUGGGAGAGGAAAGCGGAAUUUCUGGUGUAGCAGUGAAAUGCGUAGAUAUCAGAAGGAACAUCAGUGGCGAAGGCGGCUUUCUGGACCAAUACUGACGAUCAGGUGCGAAAGCGUGGGGAGCAAACGGGG